AUUGAACGCUGGCGGCAUGCCUUACACAUGCAAGUCGAACGGUAACAGGUCUUCGGAUGCUGACGAGUGGCGGACGGGUGAGUAAUACAUCGGAACGUGCCCGAUCGUGGGGGAUAACGAAGCGAAAGCUUUGCUAAUACCGCAUAAGAUCUACGGAUGAAAGCAGGGGACCGCAAGGCCUUGCGCGAACGGAGCGGCCGAUGGCAGAUUAGGUAGUUGGUGGGAUAAAAGCUUACCAAGCCGACGAUCUGUAGCUGGUCUGAGAGGACGACCAGCCACACUGGGACUGAGACACGGCCCAGACUCCUACGGGAGGCAGCAGUGGGGAAUUUUGGACAAUGGGCGAAAGCCUGAUCCAGCCAUGCCGCGUGCAGGAUGAAGGCCUUCGGGUUGUAAACUGCUUUUGUACGGAACGAAAAGACUCCUUCUAAUAAAGAGGGUCCAUGACGGUACCGUAAGAAUAAGCACCGGCUAACUACGUGCCAGCAGCCGCCGUAA
rnacentral:rRNA from 1 species